rnacentral:rRNA from 1 species
AGAGUUUGAUCAUGGCUCAGAUUGAACGCUGGCGGCAUGCCUUACACAUGCAAGUCGAACGGUAACGCGGGGGCAACCCUGGCGACGAGUGGCGAACGGGUGAGUAAUACAUCGGAACAUAUCCAGUAGCGGGGGAUAACCUAUCGAAAGAUGGACUAAUACCGCAUACGAUCUACAGAUGAAAGCAGGGGACCGCAAGGCCUUGCACUAUUGGAGUGGCCGAUGUCGGAUUAGCUAGUUGGUGAGGUAAAGGCUUACCAAGGCGACGAUCCGUAGCUGGUCUGAGAGGACGAUCAGCCACACUGGAACUGAGACACGGUCCAGACUCCUACGGGAGGCAGCAGUGGGGAAUUUUGGACAAUGGGCGCAAGCCUGAUCCAGCCAUGCCGCGUGAGUGAAGAAGGCCUUCGGGUUGUAAAGCUCUUUCGGUGAAGACGAAACGGUUAGCGCUAAUAACGCUGACUAAUGACGGUACUCACAGAAGAAGCACCGGCUAACUACGUGCCAGCAGCCGCGGUAAUACGUAGGGUGCAGGCGUUAAUCGGAAUUACUGGGCGUGAAGCGUGCGCAGGCGGUUUGCUAAGACAGGUGUGAAAUCCCCGAGCUUAACUUGGGAAUUGCGCUUGUAACUGGCAAGCUAGAGUGUGGCAGAGGGGGGUGGAAUUCCACGUGUAGCAGUGAAAUGCGUAGAUAUGUGGAGGAACACCGAUGGCGAAGGCAGCCCCCUGGGUUAACACUGACGCUCAUGCACGAAAGCGUGGGGAGCAAACAGGAUUAGAUACCCUGGUAGUCCACGCCCUAAACUACGUCAACUAGUUGUCGGGGAAGAAAUUCCUUGGUAACGAAGCUAACGCGUGAAGUUGACCGCCUGGGGAGUACGGCCGCAAGGUUAAAACUCAAAGGAAUUGACGGGGACCCGCACAAGCGGUGGAUUAUGUGGAUUAAUUCGAUGCAACGCGAAAAACCUUACCUACCCUUGACAUGCUAGGAAGCCCGCAGAGAUGUGGGUGUGCCCGAAAGGGAACCUAGACACAGGUGCUGCAUGGCUGUCGUCAGCUCGUGUCGUGAGAUGUUGGGUUAAGUCCCGCAACGAGCGCAACCCUUGCCAUUAGUUGCUACAUUCAGUUGGGCACUCUAAUGGGACCGCCGGUGACAAACCGGAGGAAGUGGGGAUGACGUCAAGUCCUCAUGGCCCUUAUGGGUAGGGCUUCACACGUAAUACAAUGGUCGGUACAGAGGGCUGCCAACCCGCAAGGGGGAGCUAAUCCCAGAAAGCCGAUCGUAGUCCGGAUUGUAGUCUGCAACUCGACUGCAUGAAGCCGGAAUCGCUAGUAAUCGCGGAUCAGCAUGUCGCGGUGAAUACGUUCCCGGGUCUUGUACACACCGCCCGUCACACCAUGGGAGUGGGUUCCACCAGAAGUAGUUAGCCUAACCGCAAGGAGGGCGAUUACCACGGUGAGAUUCAUGACUGGGGUGAAGUCGUAACAAGGUA